GACGAACGCUGGCGGCGUGCUUAACACAUGCAAGUCGAACGGAAAGGCCCUGCUUUUGUGGGGUGCUCGAGUGGCGAACGGGUGAGUCACACGUGAGUAACCUGCCCUUGACUUUGGGAUAACUUCAGGAAACUGGGGCUAAUACCGGAUAGGAGCUCCUGCUGCAUGGUGGGGGUUGGAAAGUUUCGGCGGUUGGGGAUGGACUCGCGGCUUAUCAGCUUGUUGGUGGGGUAGUGGCUUACCAAGGCUUUGACGGGUAGCCGGCCUGAGAGGGUGACCGGCCACAUUGGGACUGAGAUGCGGCCCAGACUCCUACGGGAGGCAGCAGUGGGGAAUAUUGCACAAUGGGCGGAAGCCUGAUGCAGCAACGCCGCGUGCGGGAUGCCGGCCUUCGGGUUGUAAACCGCUUUCGCCUGUGACGAAGCGUGAGUGACGGUAAUGGGUAAAGAAGCACCGGCUAACUACGUG
rnacentral:rRNA from 1 species